GGAAACAGCGCUAAAAUUCAACAUUCCUUCCAAAUAUUUCAGGCAACCCAAUGCCUUGAGAUGCCUGCCAACCCCCUGAGAAGAUCAAUAGAACAACUACUGGGCAUAUAACACAGAGGCAUCCACUGGAAAGUCCAGGCGCUGCAGUCCACUCAGUGGGGAGGUGGGCACAUCCCUCCACCACUAACGUGAGGCAGAUCCCCAUGACAAAGAGACAUGGGAAAAGUAUUUCUCCAGGUGUGGUCCACGGAUUGGCCACCUCAGAAUCUACUUGAGAAACAUUAAGAUGCAAAUCCCUGUGUUCCACCCCCGGACUACUAGUUCCUGAUUGUGCGCUUUAAUGAACUUCCCAGAUGAGUCUAACAGGACUGAAGUGUGUAGAGCUCUACCAUUCUACGGAAAGAAGAGCUCCAAGAUAAAUACACAAAAUCGUCCUCUGUCUAUUUUCAAAUAUCUAACCUUUAUCUUUGCUUAACUUUCGUAAUGGCCUGAGUUGAGACUGUUUUAGAACAAAAUCCAAGAUGAACACUAAGUCCCCCACUUGAUUUGGUUCUGUUUGGAUUUCCUUUUCCAGUGCCUCCAAAUCUGUGUGAUUCAGGUAUACAGAUUUCACCUCUUACAUUUAAACACACACACACACACACACACACACACACACACACCACAGAGCCACCAUGCUAGAGAUAGG
rnacentral:lncRNA from 1 species